UCUCCUGGGAAACGGGUGGUAAUGCCGGAUGCUCCAGUUGAUCGCAUGGUCUUCUGGGAAAGCUUUCGCGGUAUGGGAUGGGGUCGCGUCCUAUCAGCUUGACGGCGGGGUAACGGCCCACCGUGGCUUCGACGGGUAGCCGGCCUGAGAGGGCGACCGGCCACAUUGGGACUGAGAUACGGCCCAGACUCCUACGGGAGGCAGCAGUGGGGAAUAUUGCACAAUGGGCGCAAGCCUGAUGCAGCGACGCCGCGUGAGGGAUGGAGGCCUUCGGGUUGUAAACCUCUUUUAUCGGGGAGCAAGCGAGAGUGAGUUUACCCGUUGAAUAAGCACCGGCUAACUACGUGCCAGCAGCCGCGGUAAUACGUAGGGUGCAAGCGUUAUCCGGAAUUAUUGGGCGUAAAGGGCUCGUAGGCGGUUCGUCGCGUCCGGUGUGAAAGUCCAUCGCUUAACGGUGGAUCCGCGCCGGGUACGGGCGGGCUUGAGUGCGGUAGGGGAGACUGGAAUUCCCGGUGUAACGGUGGAAUGUGUAGAUAUCGGAAAGAACACC
rnacentral:rRNA from 1 species